AGCGAACGCUGGCGGCAGGCCUAACACAUGCAAGUCGAACGAAGUCUUCGGACUUAGUGGCGGACGGGUGAGUAACACGUGGGAACGUGCCUUUAGGUUCGGAAUAACUCAGGGAAACUUGUGCUAAUACCGAAUGUGCCCUUCGGGGGAAAGAUUUAUCGCCUUUAGAGCGGCCCGCGUCUGAUUAGCUAGUUGGUGGGGUAAUGGCCCACCAAGGCUACGAUCAGUAGCUGGUCUGAGAGGAUGACCAGCCACAUUGGGACUGAGACACGGCCCAAACUCCUACGGGAGGCAGCAGUGGGGAAUCUUGCGCAAUGGGCGAAAGCCUGACGCAGCCAUGCCGCGUGGAUGAUGAAGGUCUUAGGAUUGUAAAAUCCUUUCACCGGUGAAGAUAAUGACUGUAGCCGGAGAAGAAGCCCCGGCUAACUUCGUGCCAGCCGCCGCCGUAA
rnacentral:rRNA from 1 species